rnacentral:sRNA from 1 species
GUGUAUAUGUGUGUGUGUAAUCCAUGUGUAAGCGCCUGUAAUCAUUUCAAGGCACCAAAGUUGUGCCAGACUUUUGGACUUGACUGUUGAUGAUGCUGUGGUUCUGAUGUUGUAGUGGGUCAUCAACUUAUUCCGUAACAAUGGAGAGAGUUACUCUACUUUCGAUUUGUUGGUUCUUGUGCUGGUGUAUUUCGAACGAACGAUACUCACUAGCGGAUACAUAUUUCGAUACCAAUCAUGCCUCACCAAAUUCUAGAGAGUAUCGAGGAUUAUUUUAACUCGGAAUCGAGCAGGUUCGACACAUUGCAAAGACAGAUGGAGUACAAGGAUUCUCAAAUGAAACAAGAGAAACACACCUCCGUCCUCUAUCAUGAGGUGGGGUCUGGAAAGAGGAGUGCAACAGGUCGAUUGGUGAUGACGUCAUGUGUUCCUCAAGUAACCAAUGACUUGGUAAGUACAUCCAUAGUGUCAGAAGUGU